rnacentral:rRNA from 1 species
AUUGAACGCUGGCGGCAGGCCUAACACAUGCAAGUCGAGCGGAGCGGCGGACGGGUGAGUAAUGUCUAGGAAUCUGCCUGGUCGUGGGGGAUAACGUCCGGAAACGGGCGCUAAUACCGCAUACUUUCAGAUGAGCCUAGGUCGGAUUAGCUAGUUGGUGGGGUAACGGCUCACCAAGGCGACGAUCCCUAGCUGGACUGAGCGGGUGACCAGCCACGCUGGGACUGAGACACGGUCCAGACUCCUACGGGAGGCGGCAGUGGGGAAUAUUGCACAAUGGGCGCAAGCCUGGUACAGCCAUGCCGCGUGUAUGAAGAAGGCCUUCGGGUUGUAAAGUACUUUCAGCGGAGAGGCGUUACCCGCAGAAGAAGCACCGGCUAACUCCGUGCCAGCAGCCGCGGUAAUUC